GCUUCAUUAACUCAGUCGGUAGAGUGACGGACUGUUAAUCCGUGAGUCGUUGGUUCGAGCCCAACAUGAAGCG
rnacentral:tRNA from 1 species